rnacentral:rRNA from 1 species
CCUACGGGAGGCUGCAGUGAGGAAUAUUGGUCAAUGGGCGCGAGCCUGAACCAGCCAAGCAGCGUGAAGGAUGACUGCCCUACGGGUUGUAAACUUCUUUUAUAAAGGAGUAGAGUGAGGCACGUGUGCCUUUUUGUAUGUACUUUAUGAAUAAGGAUCGGCUAACUCCGUGCCAGCAGCCGCGGUAAUACGGAGGAUCCGAGCGUUAUCCGGAUUUAUUGGGUUUAAAGGGAGCGUAGAUGGGUUGUUAAGUCGGUUGUGAAAGUUUGCGGCUCAACCGUAAAAUUGCAAUUGAUACUGGCAGGCUUGAGUACAGUUGAGGUAGGCGGAAUUCGUGGUGUAGCGGUGAAAUGCUUAGAUAUCACGAAGAACUCCGAUUGCGAAGGCAGCUUACUAAACUGCCACUGACAUUGAUGCUCGAAAGUGUGGGUAUCAAACAGGAUUAGAUACCCUGGUAGUC